CCCAGACUCCUACGGGAGGCAGCAGUGGGGAAUAUUGCACAAUGGGGGAAACCCUGAUGCAGCAACGCCGCGUGAGUGAAGAAGUAUUUCGGUAUGUAAAGCUCUAUCAGCAGGGAAGAAGAUGACGGUACCUGAGUAAGAAGCCCCGGCUAACUACGUGCCAGCAGCCGCGGUAAUACGUAGGGGGCAAGCGUUAUCCGGAUUUACUGGGUGUAAAGGGAGCGUAGACGGUGAGACAAGUCUGAAGUGAAAGCCCGGGGCUCAACCCCGGGACUGCUUUGGAAACUGCCUGACUGGAGUGCUGGAGAGGCAAGCGGAAUUCCUAGUGUAGCGGUGAAAUGCGUAGAUAUUAGGAAGAACACCGGUGGCGAAGGCGGCUUGCUGGUCUGUAACUGACGCUGAGGUUCGAAAGCGUGGGUAGCAAACAGGAUUAGAUACCCCAGUACC
rnacentral:rRNA from 1 species